rnacentral:lncRNA from 1 species
UUGAAUGUUUUGUUUUUAUUCUUAGUUUGGGCAAGACAAGGCUGGAAUUCUUCAAAGGAAUUCCACUAGUACAUUGGGGGUUUUAUAUAAAUAGAUUGAUGGAAGCCAUAGAAACCCACUGGAGUUAGCCUAAGCAAACAAGACUGUGCAGCGAGAAUACAUCGAUGAAUCAGAGUCCAGAGCAAGAACACAGGUCUUAGGAGCAGGCUGAACCAGGCCUCAACUUGCAGCACGCUUGGCCCUCCUCUGUGCAUGUUCGCCCCAUGCUGUCUGUGGACUCCAAGCCAAGAAGUGUGAAGGACGAAGCUUCCUGAGACCUGAUCCCCCCACUCUCAGAGAGACCAUAGACCUGCCUGGUGCCCGCUGGCAGACAGGUCAACCCGAGCAUAGUGUCUGCAUCACGGGCAAAGCCAGCAAGAUCCCUGAGCGUUUGUAAAUCUUCUUCUUGGGACAGGAAAUAGCUCUGCGAAUGUGCAUUGCUACUAAGAACGAAGGGAGAACAGAAUGUUUUAAAUUGCAGAUCUAUCUCAGGAAAGGGCGUUUUGCAGAGCACUGCCUUCUGCCCACUGUGUUGGGAAAUGUAGCCCGGCCCAGUUCCCCCAAAGACAGGAGCCCUUCCCCCCAAUACCUGCCUCAGCAUACCUCAGGAGUUCGUAGGUACCUUACGCUUCUCCCUGGCAGGUCUGUCUCCCUCACAGGUCACACAGUUGAGAAUAAAGCUCACAGCUGUCCUGGGGUGGGUGCAGGCAGGCAGGCACGGGGGUGCACAAUGUGGGAUGG